rnacentral:misc_RNA from 1 species
GAUGAAGAACGCAGCGAAAUACGAUAAUUAAUGUGAAUUGCAGAAUUCCGUGAAUCAUCGAGUCUUUGAACGCACAUUGCGCCUCAUGGCAUUCCGUGAGGCAUGCCCAUCUCAGCGUUAGAAAAUAUUCUCAAAUUUUAGUUUUGUGCUAAAAUUUGGAUCAUGUCAAAGAAGCUAUUACUAUUAUUGUGAUCGCUCUUUGGAAAUUGAUAGGUCUUUGAGUUGCUACUCAUAGAACGUGAUGAAUCUUUCUUCGUUCUAUUGUAAUUCACUCUGGUAGUCCUAAAACUUGUAUGCCUGUGGCAUAUCUUGUAAUUUGACCUGAGAUUGGGUAGGGAUACCCGCUGAACUUAAGCAUAUCAAUAAGCGGAGGA